CAAUAGCGUAUAUUAAAGUUGUUGCGGUUAAAAAGCUCGUAGUUGAAUUUCUGUUAAAUGAAGCCGUUUCGCCCUCUGGAUGUAAACAGGUUGCAUUUUUCAUUUGUUUGGAAUGUGUGGCGGCACCUAGUUGUGAGGCCUACAAGCCAGACUUUUUACUUUGAGGAAAUUAGAGUGUUUCAAGCAGGCGCUUGCCUUGAAUAUAUUAGCAUGGAAUAAUAAUUCAAAACCUUGGUUUUGUUUUGUUGGUUUCAGGAAUCAAGGUCAUGAUUAAUAGGGACAGUCGGGGGCAUUCGUACUUAACUGUCAGAGGUGAAAUUCUUGGAUUUGUUAAAGACGAACUAAUGCGAAANCANNNGCCAAGGAUGUUUUCAUNGG
rnacentral:rRNA from 1 species